rnacentral:rRNA from 1 species
GCUUUACACAUGCAAGUCGAGCGGCAGCGCGGGGCAACCUGGCGGCGAGCGGCGAACGGGUGAGUAAURCAUCGGAACAUGUCCAUGUYGUGGGGGAUAGCCCGGCGAAAGCCGGAUUAAUACCGCAURAGCCCGAGAGGGGAAAGUGGGGGACCGCAAGGCCUCACGCGAWURGRUUGGCCGAUGUCCGAUUAGCUAGUUGGYGGGGUAARRGCCYACCAAGGCGAUGAUCGGUAGCUGGUCUGAGAGGAUGAUCAGCCACACUGGGACUGAGACACGGCYCAGACUCCUACGGGAGGCAGCAGUGGGGAAUUUUGGACAAUGGGGGCAACCCUGAUCCAGCCAUUCCGCGUGAGUGAAGAAGGCCUUCGGGUUGUAAAGCUCUUUUGUCCGGAACGAAACGGUURGCGUGAAUAUCGCUGACUACUGACGGUACCGGAAGAAUAAGCACCGGCUAACUACGUGCCAGCAGCCGCGGUAAUACGUAGGGUGCGAGCGUUAAUCGGAAUUACUGGGCGUAAAGCGUGCGCAGGCGGUUUUGUAAGCCAGAUGUGAAAKCCCCGGGCUUAACCUGGGAAUGGCAUUUGGGACUGCAAGGCUKGAGUGYGGCAGAGGAGACURGAAUUCCUGGUGUAGCAGUGAAAUGCGUAGAUAUCAGGAGGAAUACCGAUGGCGAAGGCAGGUCUCUGGGCURWCACUGACGCUCAUGCACGAAAGCGUGGGGAGCAAACAGGAUUAGAUACCCUGGUAGUCCAC